UACAAAAAAAAAAAAAAAAAAAAAAUCCAGAAAUGGAGUUCAGUCUUAGCGGAAACGCACUCAAGACCUUCGCUCGGUCCAUCACUUGCCUCGCGCGUAUCGGAAACGAGCUCGCCAUCCAAGCCUCUCCUUCUCAGCUCGUAUUUCACACUCUUAAUUCUUCGCGAUCUGCCUAUCAAUCCAUUAUUUUUAAGUCCAGCUUCUUUGAUGUGUAUACAAUUUCUGGUGCUCAAGUCCAAUGCAGUGUGCUUUUGAAGGCCAUUUGUUCUGUUCUUAGGACACCUAUUCCAAGUAUUGAUCAUCUCAGCGUGCAAUUUCCUGAUCCUGAUGCGUCAAAAGUGCAAUGGACUUUGGAAUGCUUCAAUGGUAUGAGAAAAGCCUAUUGGAUUACUUGCAAUGUUGAGCCCGACAUACAACAUUUAUCACUUGAUAGGAGAAGAUUCCCGAGCAGCCUAGUGGUGAGGCCUCGUGAUCUCAACAGACUGCUUGCUAAUUUUCAAUCAUCACUCCAGGAGAUUACUGUCAUUGCAACAGAAUAUGCCUCCUUACCUUCAGAUGCUGCUAGUGAAAUAGGUGGAAAAGCUGUUGAACUUAGAAGUUAUAUAGAUCCAACCAAAGAGAAUGACUCUUCGCUGCAUACUCAACUUUGGAUAGAUCCUGCAGAAGAAUUUGUUCAGUAUACUCACACUGGAUACCCUGUAGAUGUGACAUUUGGUGUGAAGGAAUUGAAGGCAUUCCUCGCUUUCUGUGAGGGCUGUGAAGUGGACAUUCAUUUAUAUUUUGAAAAAGCUGGAGAGCCUAUUUUAAUGGCUCCAAAAUUUGGUUUAGAUGAUGGAUCUAGUUCAAAUUUUGAUGCUACACUUGUUCUUGCAACCAUGCUCAUCUCACAGCUUAAUGAAGGUAAUUCGUCAGAACGUCCACAAGCGGCCUCAACGACACAUGGUCAGGCUGUGAAUGGGACUGGGUCGCAACCACAAGGGAUAAAUAGAGCAAAUAUUUCAGAGCAUCCUUCUGAUCACACCAGAAUUUGGUCUGAACUUUCAGGAAGUGCAGCAAGAAGUGGCAGUGGCACUGAAGAAAGACAUGCUCAACAACAAAGAAACUUGAAUUCUACCGAACAGGGGGAAAUACAAAGGAUUAGCAUGAUGCAUAUAUCAAAAGAUACAUCUGCUAGAGAAAGUGCUCCUGCUGGUUCAAGGUGUCAUCCUAUGGAAAAGCAUCAGAAAGAAGCUAGAGAGAGGUCAGAAACUAAUGGUAAUGGACCUUCACAACGACACCCUAGUAAUUGGGUAGAUGCAGAUGAGGAUGAUGACGACGACAACGAUGCAGAUGAAAAUGAAUUAUGUGUUCAAUCAACACCACCAUACUAUGAAGAGCAGUAGCACCAGUUGAUCUCUGUCUCAGUGACAGGCAGAGGCCGCUCCUGCUUCCUAUUUUUUUUUUUAACAUGUAAGUAUUCCUCUCUAAGAAGUCUUCUUCAUCGUUAUCUUUUGGUUGAAUUUCAAUUUCUCCAUGAUGGUAUUCAUUUACUUCUGUAGAAUUUACAAUGGACCCCAUCUCACUUUUUCCACCAGCAGCAUGGACUGUAGAAUCAUACUACCUGUCGUCAUUCGAGUUCGAACCCUACUUUUUGUAAUGGUUUAAGUUCAUAUAUAGAAGUGGAUCCCAAAGAGAUUAUGUUUUUCAUCUUUUAGUGAAUUAAACAGCGAAAAUUAAGAAUCUGAAGAUGCUUGUAUAUAAGUUACCGUUUUGGUUGGAGCCGAGCCCUAAACUACUUUUGGCACUGAUAUUCCAUAAUUAACUAGUUUCCAUCAUUAGUAGUA